GUGACGUUGGUAACCAACGUCACGUUGGUUACCUCUUGCGUAUUGGUUGCGAGGUAGGAUUGCUAGCGGGUGACGCACGACGGUAUAUUAUAGGUUGUCUUGCGUGGGUCUUCCUUUUUUUAUCGCCUUCAGCCACAGGCAGGUUACAUAAAAUAUAUUGUUGGGGUCCUUGGCGUUGCUGUUACGAUCGGUGCCGUUUUAACUUGGGUGGUAUCGCGUGGCUGACGUGGCGGACGGCGGUGGCAGUUUCCUGCUGGGACCCCAACAAUUGCACCCAAUAACUUCAUCUCAAAACUAUUGCCCAACAAUAUUUUACCCAUCAAUCAACUACUGGCUCUCUCUGGCCUGGGCCAUCAACCCGUGGCAAAAGUUAUUCAGGGUUUAAUGUGGCGGGCGACUGGAUCUGGUGUUGUCGGCGUGAGCGGUGCCACGUGGUCCGCUCGGAACGACCGACCCGGUUAAGUUGUUUUGCCUUCUAUCGAUUCCCAGCAAAAUAUCGAUUUAUUUUUUUUAUGACACUAGGUCGGCAAACAAGCGUACGGCUCACCUGAUGGUAAGCGAUUACCGUAGCUUAUAGACACCUGCAACACCAG
rnacentral:misc_RNA from 1 species